UAACGCGUGGGAAUCUGCCCUGGAGUGGGGGAUAACCCGGCGAAAGCCGGGCUAAUACCGCAUACGUCCUGAGGGAGAAAGAUUUAUCGCUCUAGGAGGGGCCCGCGUCGGAUUAGCUAGUUGGUGAGGUAACGGCCCCCCAAGGCGACGAUCCGUAGCUGGUCUGAGAGGAUGAUCAGCCACACUGGGACUGAGACACGGCCCAGACUCCUACGGGAGGCAGCAGUGGGGAAUAUUGGACAAUGGGCGCAAGCCUGAUCCAGCAAUGCCGCGUGAGUGAUGAAGGCCUUAGGGUUGU
rnacentral:rRNA from 1 species